GGCCAAACCGGAGGUAGCAAUAUCUCCGGGGUUACGGACAGCAACAUGAAGGAAGUUUUCUAAAAGAACGGCAUGGGAAGGCCGGCCAGAGAGUGUGAGAGCCACGUAUUUGAAAGAGAACUUUUGGAUAGCUGGAUCCAGAGUACCGCGGGACACGAGGAAUCCCGUGGGAAGUCGGGGGGACCACCCUCCAAGCCUAAAUACUACCUGAUGACCGAUAGAGGAGCAGUACCGUGAGGGAAAGGUGAAAAGAACCCCGGGAGGGGAGUGAAAGAGUACCUGAAACCUUGUGCUUACAAGCAGUCAAAGCCCGUUAAAGGGUGAUGGCGUACUUUUUGUAGAACGGUCCGGCGAGUUAUAGUAACUGGCGAGGUUAAGGUAUUGAGUACCGAAGCCGAAGGGAAACCGAGUGUGAAGAGCGCGAAUGAAGUCAGUUGCCAUAGACCCGAAACCAGGUGACCUAGCCAUGACCAGGCUGAAGUGGAGGUAAAGCUCCAUGGAGGGCCGAACCCACGUUCGUUGCAAUGACCGGGGAUGAGUUGUGGCUAGCGGUGAAAUUCCAAACGAACCUGGAGAUAGCUGGUUCUCCCCGAAAUAGUUUUAGGACUAGCGUUGGCAAUGAGUUUCGCGGUGGUAAAGCACUGAAUGGGCUAGGGGGCGAUAAGCUUACUGAACCCUAUCAAACUAAGAAUGCCGCAGAAAUGCUUACCAGCAGUCAGACUACGAGUAAUAAAAUCCGUGGUCAAAAGGGAAAUAGCCCAGACCCACAGCUAAGGUCCCCAAUACAUGCUAAGUGGAAAACGAUGUGAGAUUGCAGAAACAACCAGGAUGUUGGCUUAGAGGCAGCCACUCGUUCAAAGAGUGCGUAAUAGCUCACUGGUCGAGUGAUCUUGCGCGGAAAAUUUAACGGGGCUAAGCAUGUAACCGAAGCUUGGGAUUCACGCGUAAGUGUGAGUGGUAGGGGAGCGUCGAAUACGGGGUGAAGUCGCACCGGAAGGAGCGGUGGACUGUAUUCGAGUGAGAAUGCCGGAAUGAGUAGCGAGAAUUAUGUGGGAAUCAUAAUGGCCGAAAAUCUAAGGUUUCCUGGGGAAGGUUCGUCCGCCCAGGGUAAGCCGGGAGCUAAGGCGAGGCCGCAAGGCGUAGUCGAUGCACAUACGGUAGAAAUUCCGUAGCCGGUACAAUUGUUAAUCACGGUGACACAUGAGUAUAGCUCUACCGGGCGUUGGUAGCCCCGGGCGUAAGCGAGCCGAAUGAGGCGAAGUGAGUAAAGCUUGUGGCGAGAAAAGCCGUGUGUAUUGGUUGUACUGCCCGUACCGCAAACCGACACAGGUAGAUGAGGAGAAGAUCCUAAGGCCAACGGGAGAAGGGUUGUUAAGGAACUAGGCAAAUUGACCCCGUAACUUCGGAAUAAGGGGUGCCUACGAAAGUAGGUCGCAGAGAAUAGGCCCAAGCAACUGUUUACCAAAAACACAGGUCUCUGCUAAAUCGAAAGAUGACGUAUAGGGGCUGACGCCUGCCCGGUGCUGGAAGGUUAAGAGGAGAGCUUAGGGAAACCGAAGGUUCGAAUUGAAGCCCCAGUAAACGGCGGCCGUAACUAUAACGGUCCUAAGGUAGCGAAAUUCCUUGUCAGGUAAGUUCUGACCCGCACGAAAGGCGUAAUGAUUUGGGCACUGUCUCAACAGCCCGCCCGGCGAAAUUGUAGUACCGGUGAAGAUGCCGGUUACCCGCAACUAGACGGAAAGACCCCAUGGAGCUUUACUGCAGCUUAAUACUGAGAUUCGGUAAAUCAUGUACAGGAUAGGUGGGAGACUGAGAAACAUGGCCGUCAGGUCAUGUGGAGUCGCUGUUGGGAUACCACCCUUGGUUUGCUGGAUUUCUAACCUGCUGCCCUGAAUCGGGUAGGGGGACACUGUUAGGCGGGCAGUUUGACUGGGGCGGUCGCCUCCUAAAAUGUAACGGAGGCGCUCAAAGGUUGGCUCAGCAUGGAUGGAAACCAUGCAAUGAGUGUAAACGUAUAAGCCAGCCUGACUGCGAGACCGACGGGUCGAGCAGAGACGAAAGUCGGAGUUAGUGAUCCGGUGGUAUGUGAGUGGAAAUGCCAUCGCUCAACGGAUAAAA
rnacentral:rRNA from 1 species